rnacentral:rRNA from 1 species
AAGCGUCCAGCAAGCCUUUUAUUCUUGCGUUUGACCUCGGAUCAGGUAGGGAUACCCGCUGAACUUAAGCAUAUCAAUAAGCGGAGGAAAAGAAACCAACAGGGAUUGCCCUAGUAACGGCGAGUGAAGCGGCAUCAGCUCAAAUUUGAAAUCUGGCUCUUUCAGAGUCCGAGUUGUAAUUUGCAGAGGGCGCUUUGGCGUUGGCAGCGGUCCAAGUUCCUUGGAACAGGACGUCACAGAGGGUGAGAAUCCCGUACGUGGUCGCUGGCCUUCACCGUGUAAAGCCCCUUCGACGAGUCGAGUUGUUUGGGAAUGCAGCUCUAAAUGGGAGGUAAAUUUCUUCUAAAGCUAAAUACUGGCCAGAGACCGAUAGCGCACA